rnacentral:rRNA from 2 species
AUGUGAAAGCUUUCGGCUCAACCGAAGAAGUGCAUCGGGAAACUGGAAACUUGAGUGCAGAAGAGGACAGUGGAAACUCCAUGUGUAGCGGUGAAAUGCGUAGAUAUAUGGAAGAACACCAGUGGCGAAGGCGGCUGUCUGGUCUGUAACUGACGCUGAGGCUCGAAAGUAUGGGUAGCAAACAGGAUUAGAUACCCUGGUAGUCCAUACCGUAAACGAUGAAUGCUAAGUGUUGGAGGGUUUCCGCCCUUCAGUGCUGCAGCUAACGCAUUAAGCAUUCCGCCUGGGGAGUACGGCCGCAAGGCUGAAACUCAAAGGAAUUGACGGGGGCCCGCACAAGCGGUGGAGCAUGUGGUUUAAUUCGAAGCUACGCGAAGAACCUUACCAGGUCUUGACAUACUAUGCAAAUCUAAGAGAUUAGACGUUCCCUUCGGGGACAUGGAUACAGGUGGUGCAUGGUUGUCGUCAGCUCGUGUCGUGAGAUGUUGGGUUAAGUCCCGCAACGAGCGCAACCCUUAUUAUCAGUUGCCAGCAUUAAGUUGGGCACUCUGGUGAGACUGCCGGUGACAAACCGGAGGAAGGUGGGGAUGACGUCAAAUCAUCAUGCCCCUUAUGACCUGGGCUACACACGUGCUACAAUGGAUGGUACAACGAGUUGCGAACUCGCGAGAGUAAGCUAAUCUCUUAAAGCCAUUCUCAGUUCGGAUUGUAGGCUGCAACUCGCCUACAUGAAGUCGGAAUCGCUAGUAAUCGCGGAUCAGCAUGCCGCGGUGAAUACGUUCCCGGGCCUUGUACACACCGCCCGUCACACCAUGAGAGUUUGUAACACCCAAAGUCGGUGGGGUAACCUUUAGGAACCA